UCCUGGCAGGGGCAGAAAAGGCAGAGUGGAGAGGCUCCGGAGACAGGAAGCUGUGGCCUGCUCCCACCGGCACCUUCCUACCUGCACCUGGAAGAACUCCCCCAUCUCCAGCAGGAUCUUCCUGGCGCUGGCGUGCUCCUUCUCCCCGUCGAUGCCCGCCUACGGCGGAAAGGGGAGCGACAUGCCUGGCCGCCCGGAUGCAGGACGUCUGGACCGCCCAACCUCUACCCGCUUAUGCCAGCGGAGCCUCCGGGUGAGGGCCAGCAGAGGCGGGUCAGCCCCAGAGGCCUGCGGAUCCCGGGCAACACUCUUCUUCCUGACCCUUCACCAUUUACCACUUCUGCGCGAUGAAAAGGGAAAUGGAGAAGCGAGGUCAGCGCAGGCAGUUAGCCCAGGGUUCUCCACAUCACACCGUGUGACCUCCUCCCCACUCCCAUCCAGACUCGACCGGCUGACUGCUUUCACGUCCCUUGCCUUGGCUAAUGGUCAUAAAAAUCCCGGGGAGGGAACUUUAUCAUCUUACAACUGAGAGCAGGCUCAGACAGCUUAAGUAACUUGGUCGAGGUCACACAGCCACGCAGUGGGGGCACGAGACUGCCGAAGACGUCUGCUUUGUGCCCUCUUGUCCAAAAGCCCCAUCAGGGGGCAGCAAGGGUGGGGAGGCUCACUCACCAUGUACAUGGCGGCAGCCACAGGAAGAUAGAACGAGUAGAAAGCGGUCUUAUACUUGACGAUGGACUUGUACCUGGGCAGGGGAGAAGAUACACCGCUCAGAAGGGCAGUGCCCAGCACAGCCCUCCCGGGCCGUCCAGAUGCAGUUCCCACCAUCCCUCACCUCUUUUCAGUGAAUCUGCUGAGAUCCACAUUGCCCUGGGGGGCCGUGAUGAGGUCCAGCGUCUGUCCGAGCUCAGUCUGAUAGGAACUCUGAGGAGGAAGAUGGCCCAUAACCUUGCCUUUCUCCAGGGCUGGGAAACCCUGAAAUCCCGGGACCCACAUCCCAUGCCAUGGGCAGUCAGAGAGGCAGCAAGGACAGGGCCCUUGGGGUGCCCGGGUGGCACAGUUGGUUAAGCGUCUGACUCUUGAUCUUGGCUCAGGUCAUGAUCUCAUGGUUCGAGCCCUGUAUCACGCCCUGCGUGGUCAGUGGGGAGCCUGCUUGGGAUUCUCUCUCCCCCUCUCUCUGCCCCCCCCCCCACCCAGUGGCUCACUCGCUCACUCUCUCAAAAUAAAUACAUUAAAAAAAAAAAAGAGGGAGAGGGCCCGGAGCCUCAUGGCCCAUCCUGACCCGAUCACGGAGACCAGGGAAGCCCUUCCUGCCACCACCCUGCCCAGCACCCUUCCCGGCAGACCUAGCGCUCUCCCGUGCCCCGAGCGAUGCCAGAUGAAAGUGGCCCAGGGAGGCCAGGCCUGCAGCACACCUGUAGGAAGAGCUCAAUCAGGUUCAGGUAAUAGGGCUGCUCCCGGCAGUAGAGCCUCAGCACUCGGUAGAUACAUGCUUCCAGAAGCAACGCGUCAUUGAUGGCAUCCAGACCUAUGCCUGGCUGUCGGGGACGCAGAAGAAACAUGCGGUCAAUCUCUGGCCACUGCGGACACCUCGGCGGGCUCGAGGUCACCACCACCCCGGGCCCUUUGCCACGCCCACUGCUGGCUUCUCGCCCCGUAGUAUCGCACCUUCUGAUACCAGCAGACCUGCCCCCGCCGGGUGAGGGAUGAAUCCAUGAUGUCGUCCGACACCAGGAAGAAAGCCUGGAGCUACAGGAGAAGGAAGAGUGGGGUAAGACCCUCGGUCUCCUUGGAGGUGCUCCUUCUGCCGGUGACGGAGCGGCUGGGACGUCUGUGCUGUGCUGUGGGACUUCAGAAAAUCCUAGGACUUCGUUGGAUCUGGCGUUCCAGGGGACUUAAAAAAUAUACACCGGUACCAGAGUCUCAACUAAAUGAGAAACCUAUCCACAGUAUUAGUCAGUUACGCUGGAGGGACUAUUCUAAAGAUUAAAGAUUAAAGAUCGAAGAAGAACCCAUUACUCUUGACUGGAUCCUGAGUAUUCGAAAAAAAACAAACAACUUAGAAUGGACUUUUUGUGGACAAUGAGGAAAUUUAACUAUGAAAUAUACAUUACGGGAAUGCAACCUGGUGCAGCCACUCCGGAAAACAGGAUGGAGGUUCCUCAAAAAACUCAAAAUAGAACUACCCCACGACCCAGCAAUUGCCCUGCUAGGCGUUUCUCCACGGGAUACAGG